CCUCCUCCUCGGGCUGCGGCUCCUCUUCCUCCUCGUCCUCCUCCUCCUCGUCCACUUCCUCCGGCGACGGCGGGCCGAUCUUGCUGCAGGUGCUGUUUGUGCAAUACGGUGUUACAAGAUGAUAUUCUAAAAAAUUGAACAAUGGUUGGCAUUGAGUGUCCAGAAUCAACAUCUCCCAGCAUAUAACAAAAUGGAACCUGUGUGUUGUCUUCCAAGAAGUUACUAACAACUUCCGUAUAUGAGGAUAUGGUUUUAUGGUUCUAUCAAUGGGUUUGUGGACUGAGUAUUGUUUUUAAUUUAAUGACUGUUAUGACAAUUUGGUUAUAAUUAAUUGCUAUUGUUUUAACUCUGUAUUUAUUUAUGGUUUUAUGCUGUGUUGUUGAUUUGUGGCAUCGAAUUGCUGCCUUUGUUAGCCGCUCUGAGUCCUCCCGGGGCGAGGGGGUUGAGAAGGGCAGGGUAAAAAUGCUGUAAAUAAAUAAAUAAUAAAUAGCUCCAGUGCAGUCUAGAAGAACUGAUGUGAAGAUACAUAUCACUGGCACAACAGCAAGACAUUACAAUAGGUCAAGAGUUCCCAAAGCGUACUCCAUGGCACUGUGCUGCUUCUCUCUUCCUCCUCCAAUUGUUAGCUGCUAAACUUUUGUUGAAAUAAAACUAGCUUAUGAAACUGCCAGUCUUGGACGUCAUUUUGAAACUCAUCCUGUCUUCAAGAUACAUGGCUACAAAAACUAAACUACAAGAACAUAGGCAGCUAGAACUAAACUCCACGAGAAAUUUGCUUCAAAAAGGGCUCCGUGGCUGAAAAAGUUUGGGAAUUCCUGCACUAGGUAGAAAUUCAAAUACCACAAAAGCCCUUCCUCAGACUGUAUAAUUGUGUAACAGAUGUCAAAAUUGAGGAAUCUGAAGUCUUCAAUAAGGGAUCAAAUUAUACCAGGAACAGCCAGUGGCAGCUGGUGGAUUCCAGUGCAUCUGACUUAGUCUGACUUUUAAACAAGCUAUUCAGUGCAUUGAACUUGUUGAGGAAUAAGACUAUGCACUUUAGAUUGUUGCUUAAAAUUUGGAGUUUGGGAGGAAGGGUGCCUUAUCGACAUGGAAAAUAGAAUAGCUGCAGAGUGUAGCUUAAGGGCUAGUCUGAAAACAUGUAAGGUGUUUCAAAAAAGAGACCCUGUGUAUAACUCUUUAGCCAUAAACCACCCCCGAAUGAAAUUGUUAUGAUUUGAAAAAGAGGACCAUAGAGUUUCAAAUGAUGACCUCUAGGUGCCUAUACGAGCGUACAGACAGACCUUAGCCUCAGUUAUUUGUGGGGCUGUAACUCUGCAAAGUAAGCCUUAAUGCGAUAUUCUCAAUUUGCAGGGUUAUUUUUUAGAUUUGUUUCUGACUCAAAAUGGUAAGUAAAACAUGAUAACUUGAGAACUCGUUUAACCAUUUGUAACUGUUGGUGUAAUUUUAACAUGUUGCCAUUGUGAAGUAUACUGCUUUGAAACUGGCUCCAUCAUUUUGAAACACCUUAUAUUUUGUACUGAAGUGCAUGUUUGAUUUAUUCUUGUAGCCUUAAUAUAUUUUUAUAUUCAAUAAAGUACUAUUUUUGUAAA